rnacentral:tRNA from 1 species
UGGGAAUUAGCCAAAUGGUAAGGCAGCGGACUUUGACUCCGUCAUUUGGGGGUUCGAGCCCCUCAUUCCCAGCCA